GGCGGUUGGUGUCCCGCCGGCAGUUUAAAAUAAAAAAGAUCUAAAGCCGGUAGAUGGCCAUGAGGCAGAGUCCAUGAGGAUUUACAAUCCAUUAAUUAUUUAAAAUACAAUCAAUUAAUAUUUACAAUCCAUGUUUAGAUACACAAAAAGUUUGUUCACCCAGGCGACCAGAGAGCAGCGGUGAUCCUUGAAAUGAACACUCAAUAGCAAUUGUUAAUUUCAAUAUUUCUUUAAUUCUGAAGGAACGUCUGGGUCCUUUAGUUUUCUCCAACCCAUCUCUUCCUCUGUCCAAUCCCUUGCCAAUCUUUCACUAUCCCUUCUCUACCCUCUGUAUAAUUCCAAACAUUCAGUCCUUCACAGAUGUAGUUUCAACCCUGUGAUACAUCUUAAGAUUUACAAUGUUGAACCUCCAUCGCCUUCAUCUCUGUGCCUAUCUCUUUCCAUAGAAGGCCUUGGGACUCUUCUCCUGAUUCCAGAAAUCUCAAUCUAACUGGAGCCCUUCUUCUGGCCUUUGUCCUCUAGCGAUCUAUUAUUACUGUCUGCUAAUAACAUUGACCAUCUCAAGUUUUCUACAGCUCUCACUCUAACUCGCCAAUCCAUGAGCCCCCUUUUAACAUGUAGCACUUGCUCACUAAGGAGCAACCCACACAUUGUAAUAAAACUACUGGAAAGUGUGGUGUUAUUGUGGAUUGGCAAAUUGACUACAGAAAUUAAGCAAAAGCUUGCAUAUACCUCAUAUCUGCCAUUGGACCAGGUGCAUCAAGCCAUUGUCCCUCAGUCACUGAGUUAAUUUCCUCGAGAUAUUUUCUCCACAGCCUUUAUUGUCUUCAAAACACUUGCCUCUUCUACCUCCUCCCCACGAUCCAUAAGCUGGACUGUUCUCAGAUUCGGCCUGCUCUUGCCCCAUGUAACGUAUUCUUCCUGCUUUGACUGUACCCCUCCUCCCGACUGAUCUCUUUCCACUUCAUUCAUGUUUUGCCGAGUCCCUCUGCCACUUUGUAAACUGGUUGUGACUGGCUAAUCUUCAUAAUGGAUGUCUGAUUCCUCUACAUCUCCACCACAUGUAAGGAUACUCCGAGGAUCCUCACUUCCUGUACAGAAAAUUAACCAUCCCUUUCUGGUUGAACUUAUUCUUACUUUGAACAAUUUGUCUUUCAAUUCCACGCACCUACUUCCAGGCUAAGAGUUUCUUUGUGGAUACAUUUUCAGUCCUAUUCGGAUUCCUUCCCUCAAAUUUUAUUCCUGCACGUACUGGCACUGCUUACAAUCAUACACAACCAGAACCCAGAUUUCACUAGCUACCAGAAUCCACCAUAAGCACAACUAUGGAUUGGGCUCUCCCUCAACUGCAUCUUGUGCCAUCCUUGCUAUGAGGAUUCCAUGGCAUUUGCUUGUUGGAUAUAUGUUCUGAGACUUUCCACAUCUUAAAGAGUCUUCGCAAGAUGUCUUCAUUUUCCCAUAAUUGUAGCUUCCCUUUACCAUAGUUGACAUGGCUCAUGCAUCUCUUUCCACACAUCUGUUCUUACUCGCUCUUCCAGACAGACCAAAAAUGUCCUGGCCUUCCACUCCAGAUUUAAAGAGUCAUCCUCUAAAAUUCCUGUCACCUAUUGUAGAAUAUCUAGACCAAGCACAUUUCCCCCUUAUUUGGCUUCAUAAGGGAAACUUUCCUUUCAUGAUUGCUCUUCCAUCUCCAACCUCUCCCUUUCCCAUGCAAACGCGUGAAACUUGCCCUUUUAUUUCAUCCCACCUUCAGUGGUGAGUCAAUGAUUCAUUUGCAUUUCCAGUUUAAUGUGCUGCAUUUGGUGCUCACAAGGUAGUCUUCACAUUGGAGAAAUCCAAAGUGGAUUCGAUGAUAGCUUCAUAGAGCAUCUCUGCCCAGUCUGCAGGAGUACCCUAAGCUUCUAAUUGCCUGUCGCAUUAAUUCUCCGUCCCACUUUGACCUCUGCUUUCAACCUACAGUCAUCUGAGAAUGCCCAGCGUCUGUGGAAUAUCACUGUCUAUCAAUGAUACAUAACAACUCUCAGGACUUGAUAAUGAGUUUCAUGUUCAGAUAAAAUGGAAUUGAAUACUUUAUUGUCUCAUGUGACAAGGCACAGUGAAAUUCUUUGCUUGCAUACCCAAGGUAUACCCAAGGUAUACAAAGACGUAGCUGUACCUUCCAGUUUCUAUUUGUUAUCCUUAAUUUUUUCAGAUUGUGGCAUAUGUCAGCUUUUUUUUUUUAAAUUCCACCUUGACAACUAGGUUAUGUGCUCUGACAUUUUGUCUGUGAUCUGCUUAUUCCCUUCCAAUUUAAUUUAGAACAGAAUAGUACAGCCCUUCAACAAUGUCUGCCAAACAUGAUGCCAAGACCAUGACUUAUCUACCAGCACGCGACCCAAAUCCUUUCAUUCCCUGCAUAUCCAUAUGCCUAUCUAAAAGUUGUUUAAAUUGUAGUAAUGUACCUGCUUCAACCAGCACCUCCCAGCAGUGCAUUCCAGGUACGAAACAACUUGUCCCACAUCUCCUUUAAACUUUCCUCCUCUCACCUUAAAGCUAUGCCCUCUAGUAUUUGAUUUUUCAAUUCUCACUCUCUGCCUAAUCUAUGCCUCAUACUUUGAUAUACUUUUUAAUAUAUUUUGGUUUAUUUACCCCGCUACUGCAGUUUGAUCUGCUGAACAAUCUCAAUAUUCUGUUUUUAUAUUAAUUUAUUUCCAGCUGCUGUAAUUCAUUUCCUCCAAUUCACUUGGGUGAACAUGUUUUUUGGAAUAUCAAUUUGCCUGGAUAUAAUAAAAUGAGAUAUAUUCAACUUCAGGACAUAAUAAAAAGGAAGAGUCGACCAUUUGGCCAUUCCUCAGCUACAUUUUCCAACAAUAUCCAUUUCCCCUCAUUCCAUCAAUGUCUGAAAAUCUAUCAGUCUGUGCCUUGAAUGUAUUCAAUCACAACUUCCCACAAUAGAGUUCCAAAGAGCGAAGAAGUCCUAUUCUGAUCCCUGGCUCUAGAUACAAGAGCUAGGGGAAUAAUCCUCCCUGUGUUCACCCUAUGGAGCCUUAAAAGAUUUUCAAGUUUCAUUGCAAUUUAUCUUAAAUUAGAGAAUGCAGACUUAAUUUACUUGAUCUUCUAAUGGAAAAUAUGCCAUCCAUGGCCCAACCGGAGUGAGUCUUGUGUUGUAGUUCAACUGAAAUAAAUGUUAUUUGUCGCAAGACAUCAAGAUGGCUCCUCUAGAACACUGGUGGUUGUAUAGCUGUCACUGCAAUCAGAGAUUUCAGUGUGUCCUCGAGCACUUCAUGAUCAAUACAGCAUAUUUAAUUAUGGUAAUAUAAAAAAUGUUAAUUUGUUCUCUCAAGCUUUCACAAGUAGCAAUGUGAUAAUGAGCAGAUCAUCUGUAUUUUCAUAAUGUUAAUUGAGGGAUAUAUAUAUUAGCCAGUCAAUGGGAAUAACUUGCUUGCACCAUUUUGCUAGAAUCAAAUGGACUUUACCUUUAAAACCAGAAUUUAUCAGUUUGAAAUAUGGCGCCUAUCGCAGUGUAACCAUUCCUAGGUAUGCCACAAGAGUACUAGCCAAUAAUUGUUUCCUCAAAUCUCUGAAGUGAAGAAUAAUUAAUCCUCGAACCAGUGAGACAAGCUACCUGAUUUAAAGUUGACAGGAAAUAUUAAGUUUUGUAUCUGACAAAUUAAUCCCAGACUGAGGAGCAUCAAAAGAUGACGUUGAAGAAACUGGCCGCCAUUUUAAUUCCCUUCUGCUUUCAGGCAAUGUAGAAGAGAUCAGAAAGUCUACUAAUCUCAGCAUCUGAGUAGGUAAAUGACCGACUUCUGAGCUAUAAUUUUGGUAAAAUUAGCAUUCCAGCGUUCCUUUAAAUCUAAUUUGGUCAUUUAGUUCAUUAUUCUCCAAUACCACUGUUGGGCUGUUACUACCAUGUCCUGUUGCAUUUGUUUUAGUUUAAUCCACCAUGCCUUCCACCCUAUCAUAGACCUUCCCUUUUGUUCUCCCUGACCUUUUUUUCACUGCCGUAAAAAUAAUUUUCUGAUAUUGGAGUUGAUGUCUGCAGAUCCCUACUGUCAAGGUGAAAAAAAAUUAUAUAUUUUAUAUAUUUAAAAGGUAUAUUUUAUUGGACACAGUCCCAGCGUAAAGGGCAACCAUUAAUGAGAAAGUUGAGGUUAAAUAGCUCGACUCAGGGCAGUGAACUUUUGGAAAUCUCCACCCAUUAGGACAAGUUACUUAGCAUAUUCAAGAUAGAUUAAUAUUUUAUGAAGGAAUGUGGGGCUAGAGCAGGAAAGUGACAUUAACUAAAACGGUCAGGAUAUGAAUUGGAAGCAGAGACAAUGGGUUGAAAGACUUGCAUCUGUCUAUGUUCUUGAAAACCUUGUUUUCUUCUUGCAGUUAUGGAACUAAAUUGUCACUGUUCUUUCUGUGCAAUAUGUAUGUUUCUCCAAAAUAGAUCUGUUAUGUGCUACUUUA